rnacentral:tRNA from 1 species
GGAAGGGCAAGCCGAUUGGCGACGGCACUCCGUUCGAAGCGGAGCGAGCGUAAAUGCCUUGCGAGUUCAACUCUCGCUCCUUCCG